AUGGUUAUUUGUUUGCUACUGCUCAUUUAAUUUUACUAUUCUUAGUGAACGCUGUUCUGAUCUUCAUAGAGAAGUAGAGUAAGAUAUAAAUAAUUUUAAAUAAAACAAAAAAGCAUUCUGUUACAGGACCCUGCUUGUUGUAUACACUGAAUUUGCAAAGGCUGUGCAUAUAUAUACUCAUAAGGCUCCAGCCCAUGCUGCUUCACAUUCCCUUUCCACAGCAGCACAGCACAUUAUUAUACUAUGCGCUGGAAAAAAAUGUGCUUCAUAUAUCUCCUUUUUGUGCUUCCAGUGUAUUCUUGUGUGAAGUAAGGACAUGUGCAUCUCCAAGAAUAAGCUUCAAAAGUGCACACCCUUCAGUGCUUCCUGCCAUGCACAAAGCAUUGUAAAUUGGGUGUUGGAUAAGCAAGUCUUAUGGUUCUGGUGCUUUAUUCAUAACACUUGCAGGUUCCAAAUAAUGGUGACCUUUGUGCAACUCGGGCAGAGGUCAUUUCCACUACAACAGCUGUCUUCAUAAAACACAAUUCACCACAGAUUGUUGUAAUGGCCAGAACAACCCAUUGAAAGAAUAUGUCACCUGGGAAGGCAGAGGAUACAAGACAUCUGUAGCUGGCAAGGUACAAAGAAAAGUUUCAUUUCUGAUCUUUGGCACAGCAAUUAUUCUCUUCUUGGAAAUAGAUUUUGACACUAUGUGUGUUACCUUCCUUCCAUCUUUAUUCUAUAUAACUGGUGCUUGAUGCAGAUUUUUUUUAAAAAAAUCCACUCUGGAUCUUUGUCAUGUGAUGAUUUUAAUGUGUAUCUGAAGUCAUUAUAUUGUGGAAUGCUUGGGUUUUCCUUUCGAAACCGAAAAUAAAGUCUCCUUGUCAUGCAAAUAUAUAUAGGCUCCCCCCCCCAUAACAAUAACAAAAACCACAAUCACAGACAGAACAUGGUGUUUUGUUGACUCCUGGUCAUGAUCUCAAACAAUUACAUUAUAUUGGGCUGAACUACUUUUGCUGAACUCAGACUACAUUAGAUUCAACUUUUAUAGCUUUAAUGAUCAGAUUUCAAUAACAUACAAUUGCAUUAAACCAACAGGAUUAUAGUUACCCAAGUUAUUUUCAAUUGCUUCCUUAUGCCUAGGUGCGACGUAGAUAAUUUUCCAGUCUAGCACCGUCUCUGAGUUAAUUAUAUAUGUAUUGAUCAAGAAGUUCAUUUACUUUUCUUAGAUAAGAAACUACAUAAUCCCAAACCUUUGAGUUCAGCACAUUACGAACUUUGCUCUCAGAACUGAAUACUAUUAUGUGCAUUUGUGUGUAUUACUUUACUAUGUUUUCAGAAGAUCCUUUUUCAGGUUAAAAUGAAAAUCAAAUGUUGGUAUUUUGCCAAAGUUGUUUUCAAGCACCACCCCAUUAGCUGGGAGGCCCCCCACAUUUAUCCUAUUAGUUUGCUCUGGAUUGCUUCUUUUCCCUACAGAACUACAAAUAAACCUUUUUAGUUUUCCAUGGUGGUAGCUUUCAAAUGUGCAAGUGUCUGGCACUUCAUUCCCAUUAGUCCAACACUUUGAAAUUAAACUAUUAAAUUUCAAUAGCAAUGGUGUACAUUUACUGAACCAUUUCCCUCUUGAUCCUUGAAAAUCUUGGCUCCAAAUUACAACUCAAACCACAUUCUCAGUUCUUAACUAGUAACCAAACCAAACCAGUCAGUCUAGCUACUCUAAGUACUCUUUCAAACUCUUCAAAUACUACUUUCCUCUCCAAGCAAUUACUGCCAGCCAGUUAACAAAUCCCUUUGCUUUCAGAAGUACUUCACUAAGACAGGAAUCUACUUCAAAAUUUCAUAAAUAGAAAGGUUGAGUUAACCAUCAAGAAUAUUCAAACAACUGCAAAAUUACAGCUGCACUAUUAGAACAUUAUGGUAAAUGGUUCAUUUCUUCUGUCGGUGCCUAUAGUAACCCUGAGCUAAUUGACUGCGGGAUGCAGAUGACGAUUAACAGCAAUUAGUGUUGGGCUUUCAGCAUUUCUGGGCUGUUGCUGUUUUCAAACUGCUGUUUGUAAUAUGUUAUUUGAAUGCAUUCUUCUGUAUGUUCUUCCCUGCAUGUUGCAAUCCUCAGCUGAUGUUUUGUUCUAGAUCCCUCAACUCCAAGAAUCACAUCUGGUGGUGAACAGGGCUAGGACAUUUUAUUUUGUGGCUUCUGUGUGUGGAAUGCCUUGCCAAGUGAGGUGUUCUGAUAGCUGUUUUGGAUUUUGGCUUUCAUGAUCUGAAGGGAGAUCAUGAUAUUGUGGGCGGUGGGGCAAACCCCAUAACUCUUGAAUUUAGGAAAAGUAAGAAUUAAUCAAAGUUUUAUUAAAUUGUGCCAAAAGUUGAAAACUCCCUGGAUUUAGCUAUGCCAACAACCCAGGCCAACUUGGCACAACCACUAAGAUGAGCCAUUAGCAGAGGACAAAGGCCAUUUCGGAGGCCUAAUCUGGCCUGCCAGUCGGUUCAAUCUGGCCCCUGUGGCAGUUUAUUUCCUAAGGUAAAAUCCUUUAAAAAACCUCAAUAACUUUGGUCGGCCCCCAUGGCCCUUCACUUCAUCAAAUCUGGCCCUCUUUGAAAAAAGUUUGGACACAACUGGUUUAAGCUUUCAGCUUUGGUGAUAUAGGCCAGGGAUGUCCAACAGGUCAAUCGUGAUCUACUGGUCGAUCCCUGGGAGGGUUUGGUAGAUCGCGGUCGAUCGCUGGCUCCUCCCCCUAGCCCCUCCUCACUACAGCAGAAGACGGAGCUCUCGUUGCGAGGCUGACUGUUUCAUUAGCAACCUCUUGUGAGUGACUUUUUAAAUUUAUUCCUUUGCCCUGAUUCUCUGAAAAAGUACCUGAACCCCCUCUAAAAUCCUCCCUAAAAAAAGCUCAACAACCUUGACCUGAAACCCCCCCCCCCCAAUGGGUAGAUCACUACCAGUUUAUAAUUGUGUGCAUAGAUUGCAGUCUCUUCUAAGUUGGCAGUCCCUGAUAUAGGCUGAAGGAAUAUUGUGGCAUCUUGCAAGAGGUUUGAAAAACUGGGGAGAAGUGGACCUGGCAGAAGUUCUGGUGGGCUAGCUGGGGUAAACUGGAAAAGAGACACAGAGUUUGCUGUUUGGCAACCUUUGAAUCCAAUGCUGUGCUUCUGUAGGAGAGAAGACCCUCUUGAGAUAUGAGUCCCAACUGUAGACUCAAGGUUGCAUAUACAAUGGUACCUUGGGUUACAUAUGCUUCAAGUUACAUAUG
rnacentral:lncRNA from 1 species